rnacentral:tRNA from 1 species
GGGGCGCUAGCUCAAUGGUAGAGCAGCGGCCUUUUAAGCCGUUGGCUUCGGGUUCGAGUCCCGGGCGCCCCA